AGCGUGGAGACAGGUGGUGCAUGGCUGUCGUCAGCUCGUGUCGUGAGAUGUUGGGUUAAGUCCCGCAACGAGCGCAACCCUCACCCCUUGUUGCCAUCAGGUCAUGCUGGGCACUCUAGGGGAACUGCCCCGGUCAACGGGGAGGAAGGCGGGGAUGACGUCAAGUCAUCAUGCCCCUUACGCCCUGGGCUACACACGUGCUACAAUGGCCGGUACAAAGGGAUGCAACGCCGUGAGGCAGAGCCAAACCCAAAAAGCCGGUCUAAGUUCAGAUUGGAGUCUGCAACUCGACUCCAUGAAGGAGGAAUCGCUAGUAAUCGCGUAUCAGCACGACGCGGUGAAUACGUUCCCGGGCCUUGUACACACCGCCCGUCACACCACGAAAGCCUGCUGUACUCGAAGUCGCUGAG
rnacentral:rRNA from 1 species